CCUACGGGGGGCAGCAGUAGGGAAUAUUGCUCAAUGGGGGAAACCCUGAAGCAGCAACGCCGCGUGGAGGAUGAAGGUUUUCGGAUUGUAAACUCCUUUUGUUAGAGAAGAUAAUGACGGUAUCUAACGAAUAAGCACCGGCUAACUCCGUGCCAGCAGCCGCGGUAAUACGGAGGGUGCAAGCGUUACUCGGAAUCACUGGGCGUAAAGAGCGCGUAGGCGGGAUAGCAAGUCAGAUGUGAAAUCCUAUGGCUUAACCAUAGAACUGCAUUUGAAACUGUUAAUCUAGAGUAUGGGAGAGGUAAGUGGAAUUCUUGGUGUAGGAGUAAAAUCCGUAGAUAUCAAGAGGAAUACUCAUUGCGAAGGCGACCUGCUGGAACAUAACUGACGCUGAUGCGCGAAAGCGUGGGGAGCAAACAGGAUUAGAUACCCCAGUAGUC
rnacentral:rRNA from 1 species